ACCGAAAUAGAAACUUCUCUCCCCCUUCCUCCCCUCUCCCCCUCUUUCUCUCUCUUUCUCCCGUUCACUCUCUCUCUCUUCUUGGUUCGUCGUCGGAGCUGAAAAGACAGAACUGCUAGAUCACAGAGGGAAGUGCUUGUUGUGUUAUGGACUAGUUGCUGCAUUGCUCUUCCACUUAGGUUGCCAGUCCUGCUUUCAGUAAUCGUUAGUUGAUGAUGGAGACUGAACUGGAACCUAUGCCUAUUGGUGCACUGAAACGCGACGUAGCAUGGAAGCACUGCCAAAUGUUUAAGUUUGAGAAUCGAACCCGACUCAAAUGCAUCUAUUGUGGAAAGAUGUUUUCGGGUGGGGGAAUUCAUAGAAUUAAAGAACACUUAGCUGGUCAGAAAGGAAAUGGAGCUACCUGCCCUAGAGUGCAUCCAGAUGUUCGGCGUAUCAUGCGACAAAGCCUGGAAGGGUCCAUUGUAAAAUCGAGGAGGAAACAAAAGAGACCAGAAGAUAUUCAGAAUCGUCUCUUGGGCACCGGUGAGAUGGAAACAAUGAUUACUCAGAGUGAAGCAAUUACUGGACUCCAGUUGCUUGCGGCCCCUGAUGCAGGGGAACCACAUUUGAGAUUGUUAGCCAAGGAAGAGGAAGGAAUGACUAAUAGAAGAAUGAUAGGGAGAACUGGAAAUACUUCUUCUCCUCCUGUUACUCCUCAUGCUCAUCCCACCAGUAACCUUACCUUAGGAUUACCAAAGGGGAAGGAUCAAGUGCAUAUGGCAAUUGGUAGGUUUCUCUAUGAUGUUGGGGCACCUCUGGAUGCAGUCAACUCUGUCUAUUUUCAACCAAUGAUUGAUGCUAUUGUAUCAGAAGGACUAGGGCUCAAAGCACCAUCAUAUCAUGAUAUUCGAGGCUGGAUUUUAAAGAAUUCAGUUGAAGAAGUGAAGGGUGUAGUGGAUCAAUAUAAAGGAACAUGGGCAAAGACUGGAUGUUCUAUCCUAGCUGAUGAAUGGACAACAGAAACGGGUAGAAUUUUGAUACAUUUCUUGGUUUACUGUCCUGAAGGGACAGUGUUUCUGAAAUUUGUUGAUGCAUCAGAUAUAGUUCGAUCACCUGAUGUUCUGUAUGAAUUGCUUAAGAAUGUUGUGGAAGAAGUUGGGGUGCAAAAUGUAUUGCAAGUGAUUACAGAUAGUGCAGAUCACUAUAUUAUUGCUGGGAAAAAGCUAACUGACACAUUCCCUACCAUGUAUUGGACACCAUGUGCAGCUCGUUGCAUAAAUUUGAUGCUUGAGGAUUUCGGAAAAUUUGAAUGGAUAAAUGCAAUACUUGAGCAUGUUAAAUCAAUGACAAGAUUCAUUUAUAAUCAUGUUGUGGUUUUGAAUAUGAUGAGAAAGUAUACAUAUGGAAAAGAUUUAAUACAACCUGCACUUACCCGCUCUGCAACAGACUUCACAAUCUUGCAAAACAUGGUUAAUCUUAAAAGUAAUUUGCAGGACAUGGUUACUUCACAGGAGUGGAUGGACUGUCCAUAUUCAAAGAAGCCAGAGGGGCUUACAAUGAUUGAUAUCAUCUAUAGUCAGUCAUUUUGGUCUUCAUGCAGUAGUAUUAUUCAUUUAACAGAACCACUCUUGCGUGUUCUAAGAAUGGUUGGUAGUCAUAAAAGGCCUGCAAUGGGCUAUAUAUAUGAAUGCAUGUAUAGAGCAAAAGAGGCAAUUAAGAAAGAAUUUGUUGAAAAGAAGGAUUACUUGGUUUAUUGGAAUGUUAUAGAUCAAAGAUGGAAUAAGCAAUUAACACGUCCUCUCCAGGCGGCAGGUUUCUAUCUUAAUCCUAAAUUUUUCUACAGCAUUGAAGGAGAUGUACAUAAUGAAAUCAUGUCAGGGAUGUUGGAUUGUAUUGAGAGGUUAGUAUCUGAGAUAAAAAUUCAAGACAAAAUUACCAAAGAAUUGAGCUCUUACAAGAAUGCUGUUGGGGAUUUUGGGCGAAAGAUGGCAAUUAGAGCAAGAAAUACCAUGCUUCCUGCUGAAUGGUGGUCUACUUAUGGAGGAGGUUGCCCAAAUUUGUCACGCUUGGCUAUUCGUAUUCUCAAUCAAACUUGCAGUGCAGUUGGGUUCAAGCAAAAUGAGAUUUCCUUCAAGCAAAUUCAUAACGUCACAAGAAACCAGCUUGAGCAUCAGAGGCUUAGUGACCUUGUUUUUGUUCAAUAUAAUUUGCGGUUGCGGCAAAGGCUUCUCAGAAAGAAUCAAGAACUGGAUGCUAUGGACCCUAUCUCCUUUGACAACAUUGAUACUGUUGAAAACUGGAUCACUGAGAAGGAAGCAGUGACAAUGGAAAAUGGGAGUUCAGAUUGGAUGGCACUUGACCAACCUUUAGCUAAUGCUAUGCUGGCACCAUCUCCAAAUGACGAGGCUUAUGGCUUGGAUGCAGGGUUUGAAGAUGAUGAGAUUUUCAAUGGAGUCAGAGACGAAGAGGAGAAUGGCCGUCAGUAGGGGAUGUCACAUUAUUCAGGACUUUGAGGGUGGAAUCCAUAAGAACUGUUAUUUAUUGCUGAUUUAAGAGGCUUGACUUGUUACUUGCCACAUCUCCAGAUAGUCCAUGCCAAUGAGAGGGUUAUCUCAUUUUAUAAUGCAGGACGAAAAGCCAUGUAAAUUACGUGUGUAUUAGGAGUUUACAGUUGAAAUAAGGGGAGGGAAGAAAGGGAAAAAAGGGACUGGGGAGGUGUCGCACAGCAGAGCUGAUCUUGCAGAGUCAAGGGGCAUGCUGGAAGAUUUUUUUUUUGAUGAAUAAGGCAUGCUGGAAGAUUGGAAGCAACUUUUUUGACAUCAGCACUUUGGUUUAUGGCUUUAUGCUACAUAUACAGAAAGGGCAUGCCUGAAGCCUCUUCUGGUUGCGAAGCGAAGACGAGAAUCAGCAAUCACCAGUUAAGGGGCCCCAAUUCCCAUUUUCCAACUCCCAACUUAAAGUUGCUCCGCCGUAAAAGCAGACCAGGUUAAUCGUAGCCAAACUAGUACUAUCUCGUGAUCAUGUUUGUACUAUUGUAUGUAUCUCUCAGAUAGGAGCUUGGGACACACAGAUGCAUAAGAAAAGUGGCCGCUGA